rnacentral:rRNA from 1 species
GACGAACGCUGGCGGCGUGCUUAACACAUGCAAGUCGAACGAUGAUCAGGAGCUUGCUCCUGUGAUUAGUGGCGAACGGGUGAGUAACACGUGAGUAACCUGCCCCCGACUCUGGGAUAAGCGUUGGAAACGACGUCUAAUACUGGAUAUGAUCACUGGCCGCAUGGUCUGGUGGUGGAAAGAUUUUUUGGUUGGGGAUGGACUCGCGGCCUAUCAGCUUGUUGGUGAGGUAAUGGCUCACCAAGGCGACGACGGGUAGCCGGCCUGAGAGGGUGACCGGCCACACUGGGACUGAGACACGGCCCAGACUCCUACGGGAGGCAGCAGUGGGGAAUAUUGCACAAUGGGCGAAAGCCUGAUGCAGCAACGCCGCGUGAGGGAUGACGGCCUUCGGGUUGUAAACCUCUUUUAGUAGGGAAGAAAGCGAAAAGGGACGGACCUGCAGAA